rnacentral:rRNA from 1 species
GAUGAACGCUAGCGGCAGGCUUAAUACAUGCAAGUCGAGGGGCAACAGGGGUAGCAAUACCUGCUGGCGACCGGCAAACGGGUGCGGAACACGUACAGAACCUUCCUUUAAGUUGGAGAUAGCCCGGAGAAAUCCGGAUUAAUACCUAAUAGUAUUAUGGUGUGGCAUCACAUUAUAAUUAAAGCCUUGGCGCUUAGAGAUGGCUGUGCGUAUGAUUAGGUAGUUGGNGCGGUAACGGCCCACCAAGCCUUCGAUCAUUAACUGGUGUGAGAGC